CGCACCGGGGAGGAAAGGGAGGGGGCAGAGAUCACCCUAGGAAUGUGCACAGGGGGCAGCUGCCGGUGGAGGGUGUUUGGCUGCUAGGAAAAAUGGCUGCCAGGGGUCCUGUAAAGCAAAGCUUGCUUGGAGAAUGGGCGAAGAUGUAUGUGUAAGUGAUUUGCUCAAGAUUAUGCAACCUCCCUGGGCAUAGCCCCCACUUCCUUGGGAAUUUCCUAGCAUGUCCUGGAACGGGCCUCCAUCAUU
rnacentral:lncRNA from 1 species